rnacentral:rRNA from 1 species
CUGGCGGCGUGCCUAAUACGAUGCAAGUCGAGCGAGAACUUGAUGAUGGAAGAUCGUCUGAAAGGAUUCAAGGAAGGCGGCGGACGGGUGAGUAACGCGUGAGCAACCUGUCCUCACAGGGGGAUAACACAGCGAAAGUUGUACUAAUACCGCAUGAGACCACAUUGGGACAUCCCGAGAGGGGGUCAAAAGGAGCAAUCCGGUGAAGGGUGGGCUCGCGUCCGAUUAGAUAGUUGGUGAGGUAACGGCCCACCAAGUCGACGAUCGGUAGCCGACCUGAGAGGGUGAUCGGCCACAUUGGGACUGAGACACGGCCCAAACUCCUACGGGAGGCAGCAGUGGGGAAUAUUGGCAAUGGGGGAAACCCUGACCCAGCAACGCCGCGUGAGGGAAGAAGGUUUUCGGAUCGUAAACCUCUGUCCUUGGUGAAGAGUGAGAGACGGUAGCCAAGGAGGAAGCCCCGGCUAACUACGUGCCAGCAGCCGC